CUGCAGACGUCCCAUAUCUUGUGUAAGUAAACCACUUGUUGCCAACUCUACUCACCCCACCUUCCCUCAGUUUUUGUUUAAAAUACCAUUUCAAGAAUUUAUUGCCAUUACAAGAUUAAGAUAAAAUAACUUAAUAUAAAUCUAUAUCAUCUUUAUAAUUGCAAACACUCACUUUUUUUUUUCUGUUUAAGCAAAACAAAAUACAACAAACUUUAAAGACUAUUAUAGUUCAAUUUUUUUUCAAAACAUCAAAAGUUGCUUCAAUGCUUUUUGGAUCUUGUUGCAUGACAUUUCCUGCUUUUGUUGAACUUUGUUUUUUCUGAUUUUUUUUUUUUUGGUGAUUGGUUGAGUUUUGUUUUGUUUUUUGGAAGUUUUUUCAGGCUAAAAAGUUUUUUUUGUAUUUUUGGGUUGUUAUUAUUUAAAUUUAGUUUUAUGUGGGUUGAUUUAUUAUUAUUACAAUAAUUAUUAGAUUUUGAUUUGCAACAAAUGUUGCAUAUUUCCUCAGAUGUGAUUUCUUGUUAUUGUAUGUUAGAGUUCUUGUAGAAAUAAAAUAAAUUCUGCUAGUUUGCUGACCUGAGAAGCAAAUCUUUAAAUACUAAAUUCUAAUAAUAUUUUAUUAACAGAUGUAUACACUUUAAAAUGGUAUUUAAGAAAAUAGUGAAUUCAUUCUUUCUUAAGAGCAUACUUUUCAGUAAAUCUUUCUAAAGAAUUAUUGUGAAAAUAACAAAGGAUUGAAAGGGGAUCAAUUGACUGAAACCUGUUUGUUUUUAUUGUCUUUUAGUUUUAGAACUAUUAGAUACUGAUACUCUCCGUUGCUGUGCAUGUGUCUGCCUCAUCAUGAUCCACUGUUAGCAUUGUGUGAUUGCUUCAUUACUCAUUUGGAGCUUUUGUUGAAGAUGGGCUUCAAAUUUUGUUUUGUUUCUGUUACCUCUACCAUUCCUUGUUUUAACACAGUCCAAUUCAUAUUCUAUGUUACUAAUGUAUACAACUUAUACUAUUGCUUAUGUAAUGUCAUGUUUAGAAAGGCUAAUGUCAAGUAUUGACUACAUAGCAAUGUUCAAUAUAUUUGAUUUACUGUGUGUAAACAAAACAGAUUAAAGAGAACUUGUAUUUAUUCCUGAAC